GUGCUCGCUUCAGCAGCACACAUAGUACAAGUGGAACAGCACAGAGAUUAACAUGGCCUCUGCGUAAGAAUGACGGGUGAGUUCACAAAGCGUUCCAUAUUUUU
ensembl:snRNA U6 U6 spliceosomal RNA